rnacentral:tRNA from 1 species
GGGGUUGUGGUUCAGUGGUAGAGCGCUUGUCUUGCAUGCAUGGGGGCACUGGGUUCGAUCCUCAGCACCA